rnacentral:rRNA from 1 species
UGGGAGCUUGCUCCCAUUUCUCAGCGGCGGACGGGUGAGUAACACGUGGGCAACCUGCCCUACAGACUGGGAUAACUCCGGGAAACCGGAGCUAAUACCGGGUAAUACGUAGCAUCGCAUGAUGCAACGUUGAAAGUUGGCCUCUGGCUAACACUGUAGGAUGGGCCCGCGGCGCAUUAGCUAGUUGGUAAGGUAACGGCUUACCAAGGCCACGAUGCGUAGCCGACCUGAGAGGGUGAUCGGCCACACUGGGACUGAGACACGGCCCAGACUCCUACGGGAGGCAGCAGUAGGGAAUCUUCCGCAAUGGACGAAAGUCUGACGGAGCAACGCCGCGUGAGUGACGAAGGCCUUCGGGUCGUAAAGCUCUGUUGUUAGGGAAGAACAAGUACCGUUCGAAUAGGGCGGUACCUUGACGGUACCUAACCAGAAAGCCACGGCUAACUACGUGCCAGCAGCCGCGGUAAUACGUAGGUGGCAAGCGUUGUCCGGAAUUAUUGGGCGUAAAGCGCGCGCAGGCGGUCUCUUAAGUCUGAUGUGAAAGCCCACGGCUCAACCGUGGAGGGCCAUUGGAAACUGGGGGACUUGAGUGCAGAAGAGGAGAGUGGAAUUCCACGUGUAGCGGUGAAAUGCGUAGAUAUGUGGAGGAACACCAGUGGCGAAGGCGGCUCUCUGGUCUGUAACUGACGCUGA